UUAAACUGGUACUACAUCAUAUUUACUAAAAGGAAGAAAAACAACAUGGAUGCAGAAAUGCAUCAACUCUUCAAUAGCCAUCAGCAAAACAAUGGAAUUAACUCCUUCAGGAAAACACCCUGAACCAGAAGAGUGCUAUAAUUCACAUUUCAGAAUUUAAAAAGCUGAUUAAACAAGCUUAACUCAA